rnacentral:misc_RNA from 1 species
GAUGAAGAACGCAGCGAAAUGCGAUAAGUAAUGUGAAUUGCAGAAUUCAGUGAAUCAUCGAAUCUUUGAACGCACAUUGCGCCCGCCAGCAUUCUGGCGGGCAUGCCUGUUCGAGCGUCAUUUCAACCCUCGAGCCCCCCCGGGGGCCUCGGUGUUGGGGGACGGCACACCAGCCGCCCCCGAAAUGCAGUGGCGACCCCGCCGCAGCCUCCCCUGCGUAGUAGCACACACCUCGCACCGGAGCUCGGAGGCGGUCACGCCGUAAAACGCCCAACUUUCUUAGAGUUGACCUCGGAUCAGGUAGGAAUACCCGCUGAACUUAAGCAUAUCAAUAAGCGGAGGA